GUGGGAAUAGGAACAGCUCAAUGUGUUCUGCGGAAUACUGACAUUUUACCUUGCCUCAGUCCAGAUGGACAAUCAUGUACUUUUCAAACUUAUGUUGCAAAUAUAGCUGUUAAUCUGUGAGGCCAAGACAUAAUUACACCAUGGGAUAUGAGCUUAUGAAUGAGCAAAUUGAUAGUCUAGGAUUUAAAAUGUUGAAAAAGAUGGCUUAUCAGAGCGGAAAAGGCUUAGGAAAGUCCCUGAAGGGAAGCCCUGAUACAUUAUCUAUAACUGGGCAAACAGAAAACAGCUCAGCUUUCCGAAUUUCUAAUAGGGGUCAUUGAUACUUAUCCAUCCACCACUUUGCCAUUAAGAUGGCUGACUGAUAAACCAGUAUGGGUGGAUCAAUGGCCCCUAUCACAGGAGAAACUGACUCCCUGCUUCAUCAGUUAAUAAAAGAACAAUUUAAUGAAGGACAUAUAGAAGAGUCAGCCCUUGGAAUUCACCAGUAUUUGUGAUU